ACACUUUCAUAUGUUUGGCGGCGAGCGAUAGUCUAAUGUUUUUUGUCUGCUGCUUGCACACGUAGACGACGAUGUAAACAGCUAGGCUGGCCGGUUUGUUACAAGCGGAAUAAACGAACUUUUCAAUCAUGGCAUCGGGCGGCGAAGCAAAACUAGAUAUGUACGAUGACUUCAGUGGGUCUGUUGAAGGGGAAAUGAUAGUCCCAAACCAGCAACAGAACCAACAGCAAGGAAAACCUGACUUCAACACUUUAGAUGAACCAAUCAGGGAUACUGUGUUACGUGACCUCAAGGCUGUUGGUAUUAAGUUCUUUCAUGUCCUCUACCCCAAAGAAAAGAAAAGCCUGUUAAAAGAAUGGGAUCUUUGGGGACCAUUACUUCUCUGCACUUUUAUGGCUAUGAUUCUUCAAGGCUCAUCUGAAGUGGCAAAUGAUUCAAAAGAUGGAGGGCCAGAAUUUGCAGAGGUUUUUGUGAUUGUCUGGAUUGGAUCAAUGAUAGUAACAGUGAAUUCAAAGCUCCUUGGGGGAAAUAUGAAUGUGGGGUUUCAUAAAUGGAAACAAUCCUGUAUAGAAAGGCUUUACAUCAGCAGAUAUUGUAUGCAUGGCUUUACUACCACACUGUCCUCACUUCUUUACCUCGAGAAAGCAGUGUCGUCAGAUCAUUUUUCCAGAGUGUUUGCGUCCUUGGUUAUUGCUUACUUCCUACAACAAUUGCUCUUAUCAUGUGUAGAAUAAUUCUUCUCAUGGAACAAACAACGUUUCUAUUUGCUAUCAGAUUUAUAGUGACAGUUGUAGGCUUUGCCUGGGCAACAUUUGCUUCCAUGGUUUUCCUCGGUGACAGUCAGCCACCGGGAAGGAAGGCUCUUGCAGUGUAUCCAAUGUUCUUGUUCUAUUUCAUUAUAUCAUGGCUUGUGAUUUCCCAUACGACAACAUAAAUGUUAUUUAUAGAUACAA
rnacentral:misc_RNA from 1 species